rnacentral:lncRNA from 1 species
UUACAUUUCUGGGAAAGUAUAUACAGGUUUUACGGAGAGGGGUUACAACGUUUUGAGAAAUGUUUGGAUUUGGAAAAGAAUUGUUUUACUGACCCACUCAAUUUUGGUUUUGCGCCCCUCCAGGUUCAGGAAUCACAAAGGUGUGGUGACUACGAGGAAUUCGACGGUGUUCUGACAGAUUGGACAAAAUUAGGACUCACCUUCGGGUGUAUCAACUUAUAAAUUGUAUAAUUAAAGCUUCCGUACUGUGCAAAUGGUUACGUCACUCUCACGUGACGGCCAGCAUGCCCUCCUUCGGGACCGGGUGUGUCAGUUGGUAUCAGAGCAUGGUUGCAAUCUUGGACAUCUUGAGAAGUUUCUAGUGAAUUCUGUCAGAACUACACCGCCUCGUAGCAAACCACGUAGUUAGAGGAACUUAGUCUCCUUGAUUUAGCGGGUUAGGGGAAACUAUUCUUAUGGUGAUUCAGUAUAUUAGAAAAAUGGACAUUUUAAGACGGGUUAUGAGUUGAAUUUGAAUCACUUAAGAGAAAUGAUGAACCUGAGGGAACAAAGUGACGGAUUAACCAAUUGGAAAAGAUGUUUCGGAAUAUGCAAGUCAAAGGAAUCUUCCUUCUGACAAGGGGUCGAGACGACUACCUGGUUUUGGUUAUGAAUUUGUAUCCUGGUGGAAACAGGAGUAUGAAUUGUUGUCACCAGAGGAAUCAGUCGAUUGAGAAUUGUUUAAGGACUUGUUUAAAGGAAAAGUUUAUCCCUCCGGCAUUUAUCGAUGGUAGUAAACAAGAGUUUACAAAUAUGAGACAAGGAAGGUGAUGAUCGAGGGAUAUUAUAGAAAGUUUUCAGACUAGCCUCGUUCCAUCCAGAUAUUGUUGUUAAUUUGGUGGAGGUGUUAUGUUGUUUUAAGCUGGGUGACAAAAGGGAAGUGGUAUUUUGGGUGACCACUAUCCAUUGUAGUUCUUAUCAGGAGUAUGCUAGAUGUUGUUGAAUCUUGAGGACUCUGAGAACAUGAGCAACGAGAAUAAAGAAGAAUAAGAAAUGAAUGGGAAUUAAAAGAAGACGAUAAAGUUAAUGAUUCGUCAUAUCAAGGAUAUAGAAAGAUUCAGAGCUUCGAAAGAAGUGAAGCUAGAGUUAAUUCUUCCAGCUGAGGUUUAAUGUCGCUGGUCAGAAUAAAAGUGAUGGAUAUACUGGUAAUCCCAGAUAUUUGAGACAAGGUGUCUCGAGUAAAGGAAAUGUACCUUGUGCAGCAGGUACAAAAUUAACACUUUGGGAAAUGUGAAAUUAAUGAAUGUGUUUAUGUGAACAGAAGGGACACAGAGUUGUGAAUCGUCCCUAGAAUCAGUUGUACUCAACAAUUUUCCAUGAAAUCAUAGUGUCGAUUCAGCAGAGUUAUGGAUUUAGUAGUUUGGUCGGAUUGACCGUGAGUACAGAGAUAUUUGAUGAGUUAUAUGUUCAGCCGUACGGACCAUGAGAAAUGGAUUUGACUGACACAUGAGAAAUUGGUGAGUUAUAGGCUCGGCCGUGCCGACCACGCGGAGUGGAUCUGGCCGACGUAUUAUUGAGAUAAGAGUUGAAUCAACCGUAUUGGUUAUUCUAGUUGACUUCGGCUGAUAUAUUUCUUAUUAUGUAUGUUAUUACCUAGAGAGUAGUAAAUAAAUGUAGUUGAGACGAGUGUAUGUAUUUUGCAUUGAGUGACAAAAUAGUAAUGUUAUAUCUUUGUGAGUGGUUGCCUACUUAUCGAGACAACGAUGAUUUAUCAGUAUUGCGGGCUGCAGACCGUAAUAUUAAUAACUCAUUCGUGGAUUCGUUAAGCAAGCAAACCGGUAGAUUAUUUUAUGUUAGUAUUGUACUUAUUUGGAAUGCUUAAUAAUAAUAGAAUAUAUAUUGUAUCAGUUAAUUCUGUUCCAUUAGAUUGGUUGGUUAUAAUUGUGACAAGACGAAAUGUUAUGGGAAACCAGUACUUUCCAUCGAUCUGGAUGAACAGAGAUUACUUUUGUAAGUAUGCAAAAUGGAUUGAGUCAGGCUGUUAUUUAUGCUGUGAGAGCAAAGAGAUUGUUUUCGAAAGGCUGUCAAAAAUACUUAGCUCAUGUGGUGCUAAAUGAUGUUGUUUGGAGUAGUGUGAAUAAUGUCAAAAGAGUUCUUGCGGGCCCUGAGACUAUGGAUGAGUCUCCUCAAAGUAUUCAGGUGAUUAAGUUAACCUGAAGUAACCAGGAAUGGCAAAAGAGAUAAUGGCAAAAGAGAUAAUGGCAAAAGAGACUAACAGAUGGAUAUGCCACUAAUCGAGUGUGUAAGGGAAAUGGUUUGAUAUUUUUGGAAAUUUCACCACGAACAGAAAUGGCGAGAAUUGGAAAGGAGACAAGAUAAGAUUUAGACACAUCAGACCAUUUUUUAUCACUAAAGGAAUCAAUAAAGUUGCAUACAAGUGGUGAUGUCUUCAGAGUUGGCUAAGGUACUUAAUGUAUUUUGGGUUCGAUGCGUUGUCACUAGGUGGCAGAGUCGUUACAUGGGACCUUGGUGCAACUAUUGAGAAUUAAGCCGGAUCUGAUUGGUGAGGAACUAAUGUCGACUUUGGAUUGGAAAAAGAAGGUCCUAAGAAUUAAGACAGAGUAAGUAGUAAAAGCUUUGUGAAGGAAAUCAUUCAGUAGAAAAUUGUGUGGGAGAAAGAGAAUCGGAUGAGAGAGAUUUAUCCGAGGCUAUUGUAUGAGUAUAGAUGAUUUAGUUGGUUGCUGGAAUUUCGGGGACGAAAUUCUAUAAGGAGGGAAGAUUGUCACAGCCCGUUCCAAAAUAUUACAUUCGUGGCUGUGAAUGGACGAAAUUGCCCUUAUGAAAUACUAAGUAUGUGAAGCUCAAGUUGAUAAUUAUCUAGGUUCCUAAGUUUUGAAAAUAAAAUGGAAUUUAAUAAGGAUGAAACUUAGAUUUUUUAGGUUAAAAUUGUGUGGUUUGGAGUUGGGGAUUGGAAAAGGACCACAUGGGAUCCCCACACCCCUCAAUCCUCUCCCUAUUUUCUGCAUACUGUCUCUCUCUCUCCUCCCUCACGAAUCUCUCUCUCUCUCUGUCACUCUUCUUCUCCGUUCGAACAAACCAACCACAAAACAACCUUAAACUUCCACCAACGACGGAGUUAAGACCACCAUCAAACUCUUGGAACCUCCACGAUCACGAUGGUAUCCAUUUCAGGUAAGUUUUGCUUCGGAAAACCCUAGUUUUCAAAGUACCCGUGAAAUGGCACUGUUCAUAAACUCUUAAAUGGUGGUGUUUUAGCUUAAAACAAGAUCACAGUGAGCUUUAGGAUGUCCCAAGGAAGCUCGGAGUGCUUCGUUGGAAGUUUUCGGACGUAAGAACACGGAGAUCGACAAGUUCAAAGUUUGGCCGGAGCUUUCGAGGCGUUUUCCGGCGAAUCCCCGGCGAUUUAGGAGUCGAGGUAGGUAUUAAUCUCUUCGUCUCAUCAAGUACUACAACUUUCCUUUUUGUUUCACUCAAUUUCGUUGAGUAUUGAAGAAGUUAUACUCAUUUGAAAAAUACCCAGUUUCCGGCGACCUCCGAGGCUUUCGAGGCAGUUUCCGGCCAAACCACGGCGAACUAGGUAUUGUGCAAGGUACCAUUCUCUUUGUCUCUUCAAGGGCUACAACUUUCGUUUUUGAAUCACUUGAUUUCGUUGAGAAAUGACAAAGUUAUGGCAAUUUGAAAAACUGCCCAGAAAACGGCCGCCGGAAAAACCAGUCCGGCGACCCAAGGAAGAAGAAGGUGCUACAGUAAAAAAAAAUAAAAAUAAAAUUAUUUUAAAAAUAUGUCGACGUCCGUGACGUCGAGUAGAUCACUGUGGUAUAUUCAUAUACCUAAAUUGAACACCGUAUGAGAAAGUUAUUGAAGAUUGUUGGUUAGGUGUUCAAAUAACGUUUUAUAGUUUUCACAUUUAGGUGAAAAUGUGAAUUGAUGAUCCGACCGUUGGAUCAUCACCAAAAUUUGAUACGUUAUAGUACGUAAUAUUUGAGGAUUAUUGGAACUUACGGAUUGGGAAUCCGAGUUACGGAUCUUCCGGAAUUGGAAUUGUAAGUCCAUAAUAUAAAAUGUUAACCGUCACUUAGUUUUGGAAAUUGACGGAGAUCCGACCGUUGGAUGGUAAUGAAAUUUUAGGAUGUUAUCCUAGAGAUAUAUUGUGGACCUCUGGAAGUUAUGGAUUUAAAAUCUGAGUGGCAGAUCUUCCGGAUCGAUCAACAUAGUGACGUAUUUUAUAUAAGUUAUAUUCUAUCGAUAUGAAUUCUGAGGUUGGAAUUAAUUAUUGUUUUAGGCGCCGAUCGUCAUGACGCCUUGAUGUGUGGUGCUAGGGAGUUGUAGGGCGAACUCCAGGUGAGUGGGCAGUUUUGUUUUCCGUAUAUAUAUAUACUUGACGUUUCCCAGAAAUUGAAUUGAAAUGAAAAUAUGUUUAAAAUGAAAUGCAUAUGAGUUAUGUGGAAAAACGGGAAGUGAAAUACCAUGCAUAGAAUUGAUAUGAAAAGUAUAUAGAAAUGUGAGUUGAAAUGCCAUGCAUGAAUUAAUAUAUGAUGCAUAUGUAUGAAUUGGUGCGGUGGACGCACAAGUAAGAAUUGAUUUAUGAUGCAUAUGUAUGAAUUGGUGCGGUGGACGCACAUGUAAGAAUUGAUUUAUGAUGCAUAUGUAUGAAAUGGUGCGGUGGACGCACAGAUGAGUAUUUAAUUACUGUUAUGAUGAUGAUGAUAUAUAUUGAGCUCAAAUCCUGCACCAUGGUUUAGUGCUUAUAGUAUUUCACCGCAUCGCACGCUCGCCUUGGAUCCAAGUAGAUGCUAGUCGUACAGUCCACGCGGAGUGGGUACGACAGACCAGUCGCGAGAGUGUUAGUGAGAUUCCGACUGGUGGGUGACCUUAGAUUAUGUGCACAGAUGAUUUAUGAGAAGCACUAGAGCGUAACUUGUGUGCAGAAGGCCGGACGGGUCACAGAGGUGACUCCGGUAGAGUGAUAAUGAUAGAUUUUGAGCUCUAGGUUCAACCGUAUAGGGCUAUUAGAGGGCCUACGGUUGAUUACUUUCUUGCACCUGAUAUGAUUAUGUUGAUGCAUUCAUACCUUAUUACUGUUGAGAUGAUGUGGCAUGGCAUAAUUAAUAUGAGAAAUGUUGAGAUGACAUGGCAUGGCAUGAUUGAUAAAGAGAUAAUGUUGAGAUAGUAAAAAUGAAGUUUUGAGAAUAUAUAUGUAUAUUUAUAUUUUACAUUUCUGGGAAAGUAUACAGGUUUUACGGAGAGGGGUUACAACGUUUUGAGAAAUGUUUGGAUUUGGAAAAGAAUUGUUUUACUGACCCACUCAAUUUUGGUUUUGCGCCCCUCCAGGUUCAGGAAUCACAAAGGUGUGGUGACUACGAGGAAUUCGACGGUGUUCUGACAGAUUGGACAAAAUUAGGACUCACCUUCGGGUGUAUCAACUUAUAAAUUGUAUAAUUAAAGCUUCCGUACUGUGCAAAUGGUUACGUCACUCUCACGUGACGGCCAGCAUGCCCUCCUUCGGGACCGGGUGUGUCAAAUUAUCUUAAUAAAAAUUUGUUUAAAAAUUUAGAAUUUUUUUAAAUAUUAUUUUUUCUAUAAAUACCUAACCAUCAUCUUCCACC